AUCUUCCGGAUCAUGUGAUCUCCUACAUGAAUAGUGAUUACCGACUGAAGACGCUGUCUGCCCAGGAAGGAUACAUUUCUUCAGAGGUUCCCCGUUAUGAGAAACCACCAUACAGGCUCACUGAUUGCUGAACACUCUUCCCAUACAUGUGACUCCCCUCCACUUGCCUGUCUAGAUACGUUCAAAAUCUCAGAAUCCCACACCCUCUCCCUCUGCUCUUCAGUGUGCAAUGGAGC